rnacentral:lncRNA from 1 species
GUUGACCUCUAGUGUUAGCUGUUCUUGAAAUACAGACAUUUGUUGGUUUUUAUGCAGGCAGUGUGGGAGCUGAGCUCUUUAAGGCAGUCACCUUGUGGACACUCACAGGAGUUACAGAGGAGAAUUACAGUGGAGAUGCCACGAAACACUGCUGUUGAAGGAGGUUGCAUGAUUUUCUGAGGCAUUAUAUAUCAGCAUCUCUGUGGUAGUGAUGUAAACAUAAAGAAAUACAUCUUUCUGGUUCA